CCUCCUUCAUGAGCAGGGGUCACCGUCCUGUUUAUUUCUUUCCUCCUCAGGGCCCAACACUGUGGCUACCACAGGGAGAUAGAUGUCCAACCCUGUAGUGGAUCGAACCUUGGAUUCUCCUGUUUGGCCCUGUCUGCCCUGGUACGCCCAAUGUGGGGAAGGCAGAGGUGGAAUCAGACAGGGGUUCUGCUCUCACCGCUCACAGUCCUGCCCCAGAUGUAACCACAGCAUGUCACGGCAGGCCGGGAUAGCAGAGCCAGCCUCCUGCGUAUGACACUUCUGGGUGGGACAGAACCUCCUGGAGAUAGACUUUUGUGGGCUGACAGGCAGCACCCAGGAAGGUACCUGCUUUCCCCUUGGCGAGGCAACUUCAGACCCGCCAUCCUGAGGUGGGACCUGGCUUCCGCGAGUUCCUCCCUCCUCGGUCUCCCUGACGCUGUGUGUUUGUCCCGUUGGCUGGUGAUGGCCUCUGGUCACAGUGGUCUCCCCCAUGACACUGUGGGCUGCCCCAGAGAGGGACGGACCAGUCUGGUCAUCCUUGGGCCCCCCUGGAACAGCGAGGGACAAGCUGGAUGGAAGGAGGGACAAGUGGACACAGAGAUGAAGAUGGAUGAAUAAGAGGAGGCGUCUAGGGGAUCUAACCUCUCCCUCAACCCCCUUCCCCUGACCAGAUGUGGCCCCCUUCCAGCUCCAAGACAGCGCUCAGCUCAGAACCAUCCAAGGACCCUCUGGGCUUCAGAGCAGUGCAAGCGCUUGGCCUUGACGUUGAAGUUUCCUAACCCAACUCUGGACCGGCUCCCAGCCCUUCCCACUAUCUCAAGCCACCUCACGUUUUCCUGUCUUCCCUCCUUGGAAGGAAGGCAGCAGCCUGGGAGCCUUGUGUGUGCUUUAUACUCUGCGACACAGUAAGUGCUACCUAGUAAGUGCUCAGAAGCUAUUUGCUGCGGAUACAUAGAGAAAGCACUUACUAGGUGGAGUUCCCAGGCUGGGCAGUGCCAGGAAGAGGAUGAGAUACAGCCAGCAAGCUCUGCAGGACAGCUGCCAGACAGCCCAGCCUUAGCCUGCUGUGGUGGGGUGGGGGUGGGGCUCCUGGAGCCUCUGUCCAUCCUACUCUGGUUAAGAGUGGGUGGUUGGCCUCUGUCUCCCCCAGGAGGGCAGCACUGCUUUCCCACUUCCUAGGAGGGCAGCAUGGAGGCUGAAUACCAAGCAGAAUCAGCCAGUGGGGACGGGUGGGGUCAGAGGAACAGCUGGCAUGGACAGAGGCCAGGCAUGGAUGAGGGCCCAGGGCCCUCAGUGAGCAGGGGUGGACAGCUGGGCAGGUUGGCUCCACUCCCCAGCCUGCCAGGACACACUGCACCCUGCAGGGCCUUGGCUGCUGGGUGAGUGAUACAUUCAUGGAUUGGUCGGUCAUUCACUCUGGAAGGUACAGGUCAAGGCAAGUGUGCUCACAGUGGAGUGACGGGGAGCAAGGAAGCAUGAGGAGAAACCGAUACUGGAAACGGUGACAACCACUGAUCAGCACUGGUUUAGCCCCGUGUGCAUUAGCUUGUCGUGGAUCCAGACAAAAAAUGCAAGAGGGUGUGGCAACUUUGGAAGAUGCCACAGGGGAUGCCAUGAAGUACUGGGACCAGCGGCCUUCAGUAAGAGACGAGUACAGAGUUGUCAUUUGGGGAAUUUCCCAUCACAGUCCUUUGAAAGAUUCACGGUUGGAUAAUUUCUAGGUGCAAGAAAACAUGAUCUCAGCCCCACUAUGUUUGAAAAAACUCGAAGAGGUUGGUGAGGUUGCAGAGAUGUGGAUGUUUACCUGGCUCAGAUGGGGUAGUCCAGGUCUUUGUUCUCUCUGGGCCUCAGUGUUCUCAUCUUCAAAACGGGCUGGUGACAGUCAGGCUGCAACAAAGCUGGUGCAUGUUCACUGCCUGGUACAGCCAGGCAUUUAGCCGGUGUGGAAGCACAUAGCUCUGAGGGCCCAGGCUGCUGGUCCUGUGGGCUCUUAGCACAGUGGCCUGCUCUCCCUUUGCUCACUGGGAAACCGGAUGCCCCAGGUGUGCUCAGCCUGCUCUACCAUUCCAGAAAUUGCUCCAUAUCGAAACCCCCGCCAUCCCAACUGACAUCAGGAGCAUCAGUUGGGACUGGAAACCAGACACCUGUUUCCCAGCUGAGGACAGCCAGGUCCCCGGUUUUCAGUGACAAGCCACGUGUCCCUGGCUGCCACAGCCUCCUGCCUGUGCAAAUGUGUGGGAAGGGCAGGGAAGGGCCCGGCUCUUCUGGGCCCCAGGACUCUCCAAGGAGAGGCUGAGAAGGGCACAGACAGAGGCAGGGUGAGGGUGGGCAGGCAGAUUUAUCACAGCCAUGCCUCUCCCCUGCAGCGCCUGCUUCUAAUGAAAUUUUACGGCAGGUGGAAAUGAUACGACUCUGCCAGCCCUAAAAGCACUUCUAUUUAUUCAUUAAAGAUAUUUAUAUACUGAGCAGCUCUCUCCAGGGCCCCACCCGGCCCUGCUGGGCAGUGAGCUGCUCCCAGUCUCCAGUGCUGGGAGAAGCUCCCCACCUCAACACAUCCCCAGUCCUCUUGUCUCCAACCCAUUAUCCUUUCCUGGCCCUCCGUACCAGUGCCCUCUCCUGGGACGAGAGUGCCUCUUCUUGGCUUUCCCUACUUCCUGGCUGGCCUCCGCAGUGCAGCUUUCAUAGAGAAAUUAAAGGCAUCCAUCUUUUCAAAGUCAAAUCUCUUCCUUUAUGUUCUCAAAACUCCCCUGGCUUCUGCCCACUUCUCUGGUCCCAUCUCCCACUAGCCUUUGCCUCUCCUUGGGACCAGUUACUGUAGCCACUUUGGGCUAUUUUCUAGAGAAUGAUGGUGCUCUCUCUGUCCCUGCCUCAGGGCCUUUGCACCUGUGCUUCUGCUUAGAACCCCCUCCUCCCCCAGUUCUUUGGCUCCUUGAGCUUAACUCAGGCUCAAAGUCACCUCAUCAAGCCUGAAGUGGUGGCACAUGCCUAUAACCCCAGCACUCUGGGAGUCUGAGGCAGCACUGAAAG